rnacentral:rRNA from 1 species
GUAAAACCAAGUAUAACAAAGGGGCUACUAGGGAUGACUAGGCAAUGGAUCGGAAUGAGGUCUAAUCCAAACUGUCGAAUCCGAUCAAGGGUAUGUUAAUCAACCCGGUCUCGACGAUCAAGGCCAAAAGGUGCCUCACUUACCUUGGGAACUGAAACAUCUUAUGUACCAAGAGGAAAGGAAAUCAACCGAGACUCUACAAGUAGUGGCGAGCGAACGUAGACAAGCUAUCUCUAUCAACUUAGACAACCUCUGUUUACGUUUAUGCGUAGCAGCAGGAAAAUGGUAGCCUUCGGACAAAGACAUAAACAAUAGCUUGGAAUAGCUAGCCACAGAUGGUGAUAGCCCAGUGAUGAUAUGACUUUGCUCCCUUUUGGCAGUGAAUUUAAUUCCUUAGAGAGAAUUGGCGGCUUGUCAAGCUGCUUUUAUAAUACCCUGUCUAUUAAGGCAGGAAAGGUGUACCAUCAUCAAAGCUAAGUAUGUUCCAUUGACCGAUAGUGCAGAGUACCGUGAGGGAAUGUUGAAAAAGCAGGUAGUAAACUGGUGAAAAGCCUGAACUAGUGGCUCCAUAAGCAGCUGGAAUCACAACAGCCAUUGACUCCAACUCAAUGUGUGAUGACAGCGUACCUUUUGUAUAAUGGGUCAGCAAGAUGAUGGUGGGUGCAUGGUAAUACACCCUAGCAAAAGCGACCUUAAUUAGCCGGUGAUAGUACCAACCAUCAGACCCGAACCCAGGUGAUCUUGCCAUGGCCAAGUGCUAUUUAAUAAGACUGAACGGGUGUCCGUUGCAAGGGACUCCGAAGAGCUGUGGCAAGGGGUGAAAAGCCAAUCUAACCUGGAGAUAGCUGGUCUUCUGCGAAACCCGUUUUAGCGGGUCGCCCAUUUAUUGAAAUUAAAUUCGUUACUAGACGGUACGGCACUGGAAGCCACGCAGCUUUUGCUGCAUAAUCGGGGGGCUGUCAUGGCUCUAUCGAUGGCUUCUAACCCCGGAAAUGUAUAGUAUACAAUGAUGGGCAAUCAGACGUAUCGUGAUAAGGCGAUUCGUCAAAAGGGCAACAGCCCAGAACAGGUGUGAAGGUCCCUAACAAGCUACUGAGUGAACACAAGGCAGUCCUCUCCAGUGUCUCUCCACAAAGUGGGCUUGGAAGCAGCCACCUUUUAGCGAUAGCGUAACAGCUCAGUGGUCUGAGCCUCCCUGUAAAAAGGGAAUAUUGCCUGGUGAGGGCGCCAAAAAUGUAACGGGUCUAUAGUAGUUGUCUCUCUGUUCCAGCUUUGGAUAUGGAGGGAGUGGCAGUUUCUUCACUGUCUCACCGAAACCCUGUCCUAGAUGUAAAAUUCUAGGGGUAGCAGAAUACCCAGCAAAUGGAAUGAAGCUUGCUCAUUGAGCCGGUGGACAUAGCUGGGCUAAGAAUGCUGACAUGAGUAGCCUAAAAGGAGGGUAAUUCCCUCUUCGCCGAAAGCAGAAGGGUUUCAUUUGUAAGGUCUAUACCUAGAUGAUUAAAGCAGCGGCCUCUAAGGUUCAGAGUAACAAAUUAGUUCCGAUGAGUAACUCUUCUAUAGGGCAGUAACCUUCCUUAUAAGUUUACCUUCAAGUAAUUAGAGGUAUACUUCAAAGAGUAAGGUUCGGGAAAGAGCCCUACAGAAUCAAUCUUAAAACCGUACCCUAAACCGACACAGGUCUGCAAGUAGAGCAUACUAAGGCGUAGAGAUAAUCGUCUUGAAGGAACUCGGCAAAAUGACCCCGUAACUUCGGGAGAAGGGGUGCCACUAAUAAGUGGCGGCACUAAACAGGGGGGCGCGACUGUUUACUUAAAACACCGGACUCUGCUAACACUAGCGUGGAUGUAUAGAGUCUGAUACCUGCCCGAUGCUAGAUGAUCAACUAAGCCGUUUUAGGAUGGCAAAGGAAGCUCUAGUCAAUGGCGGCUGUAACCUUGACGGUCCUAAGGUAGCGAAAUUCCUUGGCAUUUAAAUGAUGUCCCGCAUGAAAGGUUUAACGAAGCUCCCACUGUCUCCAAGACGAGCUCGGCGAAAUUGAAUUAUCCGUGAAGAUGCGGAUUACCUCCAGCUAGACGAGAAGACCCUUUGAAGCUUGACUGCAACUAGUUAGUGUGUAACCGCUACUAAGGUACAAAGGGAGUCGACUAGACGAGAUACCUUGAUCUUUGUAGUAGGUUUCACUAUAAAUGCUGGCUAGUAGGCAGUUUGUCUGGGGCGGCAAUCCUCACCUAAAGUAACUGAGGAGUCCGAAGGUGUGCUUUGCUAGGUUGGAAACCUCUCUAUGGCUAUGGUGAGCCUAAAUAAGCGCAAUGGUAUAAGCAUGCUUGACUGUGAGACCUACAAGUCUAUCAGGUAAAACCCUUUCUAUUUACCCCUUCAUAUAUCAGGUCUCUCACGGCUAAAGUUAACCUUACCUUCUUUCUUAUUUCAUCACUUGUUAGCCUUGGUUCACAGUGCAGCGCACUUGUGGAACAAGUUUGUUUUGUUUAAAGUAGUAAAGGAAUGGAAGAAGGGGUAAUUAGGUAUAAAGGGUAUAGGUAACUAGGGCAUAGUGACCCGGUGAUACAUCAUGGAAUGUUCAUCGAUCAACGGAUAAAAGCUACUCAAGGGAUAACAGGCUGAUCCUCCACGAGAGUCCAUAUUGACUGGGGGGGGUUGGCACCUCGUAUUAACGCACAAUCACACCAAACUUAGAAGUAAGUUAAAAGUCAUUUUAAAAAUAACACAAAGCGAUGUCGGCUCAUCCUAUCCUAGAGCAGUAUAAGGUUCUAAGGGUUCGGCUGUUCGCCGAGUAAAAGGGUACGUGAGCUGGGUUAAGUACGACGCGAGUCAGUACGGCUUCUAUCUACUGGAGGGAGUUGGAAGUAAGGAGGAAGCUAUUUUUAGUACGCGAGGACUUAAAUGGAGUGACCUCUGGUUUACCAGUUAUCAACAGCUAAUAAAGCUAUGGUAUGGCUGGAAAGCUACGUCACGAAUAGAUAACUGCUGAAACCAUAUCAAGCAGGAAACUACUCCUCUAUACUUCCUUUGAAACUUAGGGUAGACCACCCUAUUGAUAGGGCCUGGGUGUAAUAGCAGUAAUGCUUUUAGCCUCGGGUUACUAAUUGUUAAGCAACUUGGUUUUAC